rnacentral:tRNA from 1 species
GCCGACGUAGCUCAACGGUAGAGCAGCUGAUUUGUAAUCAGCCGGUUGGGGGUUCGAGUCCCUUCGUCGGCUCCA